AAAAAGAUCAGGAGUGGCUUGCCAAGUUGAGCAGGGCCCCAAACCUGACACCAAUGCCGGGAGGCGACUGAUGCAGCUCUGCCCACUAGGGCUGAAAAUUUGACCCUCCUGCAAAGAGCAAACUAACUAAAAGAAACCAUUUUACAAUCAAGAACAAAGCACACAAAAUGGCUGAAACAGUUUCACUCCUUCACACAGAAGAUUUAAAUUCUAAAAAUAUGCACUGGAAGCAGAAUGAUAAUUUUCUAAUCCUUAAGAGGGUAAUGUCAACAUCAUGAAGUGACACUUUCCUGAAAUGAGAAUGAACUAGGCACUAAUGCUUAAUACACUGCCAGUCCCAUCUUACGCACACUGACUCAGAAGCAAGGCCCACAGAGUUCAAUAAAGUGAGGCCUUGGCCUUGAAGAGUCCAAGAGCAGAAAAACAGUGGGCAAUGUGAGCCAAAUUUCUUGUUUACGUCAAUACAAUCUAUCUAUCUGUGUGUGUGUCACACAAAGGAAUGUAUGUGCAAUUGACAGCCUUCGCUGAAAUAAACUGGGCAACAUUUCUGGAUGUGGAAACUCCACAUUUGAGGCAGAGCUCCAACAGCUGCAGGAAAUUUUUGGAUCAUGGCGACAUAGCCACAUGACUUGAAGACAUCAAAACACAAGCAGGUUCAUACACACCGGGCCUAAAAAACAAAAACCUCCAGGCACAUCAAGACCAAGCGAAAAACCUGACACUAUGGAUUUUAUCAAGAUAAAUCACUGCUUGCUCCAAAUCACUUCUGUGAGCAAAACUGAACUACCCCUCCAUCUCUUUCCCCACCCCAAAAUCUACACCAGAGAGUUGGGGGGGGACCCCAGGGCAGAUUUGGGAGCACACCGGGGGAAAGAAAGUAAAUGGAAAUUCCACUGUGCUUGCAGAAUUCACUCUGUGCACACAAAGGAUUUGUUUGGACGCAACCCUAUGAAUUUCGAGCAUCUUCCCAACCCUGAUAUACAGGCUGAUCCUAGUUAUUAGCUUAUUAGUUAGAAGUCAGUCCCAUUAACCUCAAUGGAGCUUGCUCUUCAGUAGAAUAUGGAUUGUAGCCAUACACAGUUUUAACCCCUUUUUUAAAAAAACACACAAAAACAAAACACAACCCUUUAAAUAUUUGCUGUAUUUCUACAGCCAAAAUUAUCUAUUCAAAAUUACUCCAUGAAUUAUUCAUCAAAAGAACAGAGAACAGCAACAACAACAAAAACCUACUGAGGGGAGCGAGGGGGAUUUAGUUUUGUUUCAAUUAGUUUGUUUAUUUGUUAUAGUGGUUCUAUGUAUGUUUGCUAAGUGAAGUAUAAAAGUGUACUGCAACUG